rnacentral:rRNA from 1 species
UACGUAGGGUGCGAGCGUUGUCCGGAAUUAUUGGGCGUAAAGAGCUCGUAGGCGGUGUGUCGCGUCGGUCGUGAAAACUUUCAGCUUAACUGGGAGCUUGCGGUCGAUACGGGCAUCACUGGAGUUCGGCAGGGGAGACUGGAAUUCCUGGUGUAGCGGUGAAAUACGCAGAUAUCAGGAGGAACACCGGUGGCGAAGGCGGGUCUCUGGGCCGAUACUGACGCUGAGGAGCGAAAGCGUGGGGAGCGAACAGG